rnacentral:rRNA from 1 species
UUCCGGUUGAUCCUGCCGGAGGCCACUGCUAUGGGGGUCCGACUAAGCCAUGCGAGUCAUGGGGCGCCUUGUGCGCACCGGCGGACGGCUCAGUAACACGUCGGUAACCUACCCUCGGGAGGGGGAUAACCCCGGGAAACUGGGGCUAAUCCCCCAUAGGCCUGAGGUACUGGAAGGUCCUCAGGCCGAAAGGGGCUCUGCCCGCCCGAGGAUGGGCCGGCGGCCGAUUAGGUAGUUGGUGGGUAACGGCCCACCAAGCCGAAGAUCGGUACGGGCCAUGAGAGUGGGAGCCCGGAGAUGGACACUGAGACACGGGUCCAGGCCCUACGGGGCGCAGCAGGCGCGAAACCUCCGCAAUGCGGGCAACCGCGACGGGGGGACCCCCAGUGCCGUGGCAUCGCCACGGCUUUUCCGGAGUGUAAAGAGCUCCGGGAAUAAGGGCUGGGCAAGGCCGGUGGCAGCCGCCGCGGUAAUACCGGCGGCCCGAGUGGUGGCCGCUAUUAUUGGGCCUAAAGCGUCCGUAGCCGGGCCCGUAAGUCCCUGGCGAAAUCCCACGGCUCAACCGUGGGGCUUGCUGGGGAUACUGCGGGCCUUGGGACCGGGAGAGGCGGAGGGUACCCCUGGGGUAGGGGUGAAAUCCUAUAAUCCCAGGAGGACCGCCAGUGGCGAAGGCGCUCCGCUGGAACGGGUCCGACGGUGAGGGACGAAGGCCAGGGGAGCGAACCGGAUUAGAUACCCGGGUAGUCCUGGCUGUAAAGGAUGCGGGCUAGGUGUCGGGCGAGCUUCGUGCUCGCCCGGUGCCGAAGGGAAGCCGUUAAGCCCGCCGCCUGGGGAGUACGGCCGCAAGGCUGAAACUUAAAGGAAUUGGCGGGGGAGCACUACAAGGGGUGGAGCGUGCGGUUUAAUUGGAAUCAACGCCGGA